GAUGAAGAACGUAGCGAAAUGCGAUACGUAAUGUGAAUUGCAGAAUUCAGUGAAUCAUCGAGUCUUUGAACGCACAUUGCGCCCUCUGGUAUUCCGGAGGGCAUGCCUGUCCGAGCGUCAUUGCUGCCCUCAAGCACGGCUUGUGUGUUGGGCUCCGUCCCCCGAUCCCGGGGGACGGGCCCGAAAGGCAGCGGCGGCACCGCGUCCGGUCCUCGAGCGUAUGGGGCUUUGUCACCCGCUCUGUAGGCCCGGCCGGCGCUUGCCGAUCAACCAAAUUUUUAUCCAGGUUGACCUCGGAUCAGGUAGGGAUACCCGCUGAACUUAAGCAUAUCAAUAAGCGGAGGGA
rnacentral:misc_RNA from 1 species